UAGGUUGUUACUCAGUCACGGACACCAUGGAAACGCAGGCGCAGAUGUAAGAAAUGAGGGAAAAGUGCUGCGUCACCGAGUGUAUCACAUCCUGGACUGCUGAAGCGGAUUUGUCAAAGUCGGCCGCUGCUGCUUCAAGAUGAACAGCAUUCAUUUCAUCCAUAAGAACACUAUUGUGGGUUCAACUGAUGACUCCUUGAGGACAAUCAUUACUCGAACUAGGCAGGUCAACAUUUCAUUUGUCUGUGUAUUCCCAAUAUCAGAGCAAGUCUCAAUGACUGUGAUGAAUCCAGCGCAAAGACCUGCCCCAGAAGAUCUCUGUACAGAGCUGCGAGAUCAAUACACUCAACCAGACCAGUAACAUACUGAUUUCAAAUGCAGGUAUGAGAGAAAUCAUAAGCCCUGAAAUGAGACUUCAAUUCAAUUGCUCAUCAGAAGCAUUCAGGUUAAUGUCAAGAAAAGUCGCUACCAGAAGAACACACAGUGCAUCUUCCAAAAUGAUUAAGAUCUCUUAAUAAAGUACUUCAGGUGGCUGCACGUUUUUGUGAACUAUAAUAAAGCUUGAAUUUUUUUGGGACAUUGAUUUUGACAUUAACUCCAUUAAAAUGACUCUUUUUAUUGAAACUGUAACUAUAUAUUUAAACACGUUUUGAUGGAAAAUCCAGUCUAUACUAUCAUCACUUACAACACCUGUAAGAGUACAUUAUGCAGCCACUUUUAGUUUCCUGCUCAUUUAUCAAAUUAUGAAGUAGAAAAUGGAGAAGACACAAAGUACUAAAAUUAUUUUGUACAUUCCAUGUUUUCAAAACACAAACAGUGCCUUGGUUCAGUAUUUUCAAUUUGCUUGUAUAAUUAUGUACCGGUAAAGAUCUAAAGUUGUGUCCUUCAUGACUUGUAUAUAAAGACAUAAUGACUGGACCUUAUGUAUGAAUACAAAAUGAACCUAAUCAUUACAGUCUGGAAAAACAAAGAUUCCUGCUAAACAAGUGUAUGCAUUCCAAUAAGGCUGAAGUGUCUCUGUUAUGGUAGUCUACCAAAUUGCUUGAGUCAGUGAAUCAUAUAAUUGUAAAGUCAGCCUGCUGUAGCUCAAUCAGUCGAUCCUCUGCUUUCAUCUUUUCAUUUCAUACUUGAGAAGUAAGUAUUUAUCCUUUAGAAUAAAGCUACUUAUUAGCUGUUUGAUACAAAUAAACACC